GCAUGAAGCUGGAAUCGCUAGUAAUCGCGGAUCAGAAUGCCGCGGUGAAUACGUUCCCGGGUCUUGUACACACCGCCCGUCACACCAUGGGAGUCGGUAACGCCCGAAGUCAGUGACCCAACCGGAAGGAGGGAGCUGCCGAAGGCGGGACUGGUAACUGGGGUGAAGUCGUAACAAGGUAGC
rnacentral:rRNA from 1 species